GACAGAGAGCCUCUUGAUGUUUCUAAUGGCUAAGCCAAAUUGUAGAUGAGAAAUUAACAAGAAGUCGCCAUCGUCUAGUAGAGUUUGCCAUGGCUAAAUCUGUUAUGUAAAAGUUCCCAUUGAUGAGCUAUGAGAUAUUCUGUUACAUGCAUUUCAAUUUCAGAUUGAGUUAUGGAGAAAACCAUUCAAAAAUCAUUGGUCUAUUUUGACUUUUGUUCUUUCUUUUUCCCCAUUUUGUUUUUUCAGGCUCUAAGUUUCGAAUACAAUUACAAAAAAUGUUUCUCAAACUUCAUUGCCCCAUAAGAAAUAGGGGCGAGAUAGGAGCUUAAUUACUUAGGGGUUGUUUGGUGUGAGGGAUUGGGAGAGUUAAUCCCGGGAUAAAUUUUAAGUAGCCUUUAUUUCCUUGUUUGGUUGGAAAGCUUGGGAUAACUUAUCCCGGGAUUAGGAAUUAGUAUCGGGAUAAGUUACCCCUCCCAUUUGGUGGUAUAGUAAUCCCGGGAUAAUUUAUCCCGGGAUAGAAUAGGAAAAUGACUACUAUAUCCCUUUAAACCCUUUGUAUAUAUCAUUUUUCACAUUUAUGUAUAUUUACAUUAUUUUUAAUAUCAUGUAUAAUAAUAUUNNNNNNNNNNNNNNNNNNNNNNNNNNNNNNNNNNNNNNNNNNNNNNNNNNNNNNNNNNNNNNNNNNNNNNNNNNNNNNNNNNNNNNNNNNNNNNNNNNNNNNNNNNNNNNNNNNNNNNNNNNNNNNNNNNNNNNNNNNNNNNNNNNNNNNNNNNNNNNNNNNNNNNNNNNNNNNNNNNNNNNNNNNNNNNNNNNNNNNNNNNNNNNNNNNNNNNNNNNNNNNNNNNNNNNNNNNNNNNNNNNNNNNNNNNNNNNNNNNNNNNNNNNNNNNNNNNNNNNNNNNNNNNNNNNNNNNNNNNNNNNNNNNNNNNNNNNNNNNNNNNNNNNNNNNNNNNNNNNNNNNNNNNNNNNNNNNNNNNNNNNNNNNNNNNNNNNNNNNNNNNNNNNNNNNNNNNNNNNNNNNNNNNNNNNNNNNNNNNNNNNNNNNNNNNNNNNNNNNNNNNNNNNNNNNNNNNAAUUUAUUUGACUAAUUCUUAUGUUUAUUUAUGUCUUUUGAUUUCUCACAAAUCCUUUUUUACUUUAUCAAACUUAAGAUGGAAAUUCUAUUUUUAAGCCAAAUAAGAAAAAAAAUUAUUUUUCAAUACAUACGGUACCAUAGUGGAAAUGCACACACAAAAAAUAUUUAAACUAAAUAAGAUGCAAGUUUUAUUUUUUUAAAAAUGAAUAAUUAAAGCUUGCAAAGAAACUACAAAAACUAAAUAAAGUGAAGGGUAAUUUUGUAAACAAACAACUUGUUCUUAAAAUUUAUGCAAUACAUAUUAUUUUGAAUACAACAAACCAAACACUCAAUAAAAGAUAACCUCAUCAUAACUUAUCCCAUCAUAACUAAUCUCAUCAUAACUUAUCCAUCAUAACUAAUCUCAUUAUAACUUGUUUUCAAACCAAACGACCCCUUAGAGUAUUUAUGACUCUGAUGGGUCCCACUUUUUAUUUGAGCCCUUUUUCGUUUGUUCAUCUUUCUCCCAUUCCGUUGGUCAACAACCAACAAAUAGGAAAAUUCAAACAAAAAAGUACAGGAAAGGAAACCUUAUUCGAUGAUCGGCGAAUCUUAGAGCAAGCACUAGAAUAGUUGAAAAAUUCUAAGUAAACAUUUGAUAUGAUACAAUCAAUAUAGAAGAAGUUCAAUUUUUUAUUAGUUCAAAUUCUUUCAUUAAAUUUGAGUUGGUAGACAGUGGAUGAGUGUGUCAACUGAACAGUUGGUUUUCUUGACAAUUAGCUUUAUUAGAAAUAACGUUUAUUAGUCAUUUUUUCGGUCACCUCUUUGAAAAAUAGUAACCAUAAAACAAUUUUUCGAUCAUGUCUUUAAAUGUUAUUUUAGUCAUAAUAGGUUUUAAUUCUUCUAUUUUUAUUUAGUUUUUCACCUUGCUUCCUUUCUUCAAAAGGUCAAUAGUUAUUCUCCAUUUAUUUUCAAUGUUGACUUAGAAUCUCAACCUAUUGAUUAGAUUAUAGUCUUUAAUUUGGAGUCAAUUUAUAUAGUUUUCGUAAUAAAAUAUUGUUCUAAAUAUAUAGAUACAAAGGUUAAAUAUAUUUCUUUUUGCUUUUUUCGCUCAUUAUCUAUUUUGAGACUGGAUUAAUUCAGAGUUAUAUCGUGCAAUCUUUAUAUAUUUAGAUUUAUAUAUAUAUAUAUAUAUUCAUUUAUUUGGACAUCCUUCCUGAAAGAGAUCAUCCAUAUAUGGUUGAUCCAAUGGAAAAUGCAUGUGUUGUUUUGGUUUGUUUAAUUGUUGUUAUCAUUGUUGACUCUACUUUUUUCAUAUCUAUGUAUUGUUACAAUUGAAUUGCUUGUGUAAAGUCAAAUUAAAAAGUGCAUAGAUCUUGGAUAAGUUUUUAAUAAUUUUAGUUUUAGAAACUUUUGUUAAUUGAGUCAAUUGUUAUAUAAAUUAUUAAAAUUAUUUUUUAUAAAAAGUAAAUUUUUUUGAAAAUAGAUUUAAGACUUCACUUAUUGAGUAUGUCAGUUAGAAUAUUAUUUUUUACUUGUAUAGUAUAAGCCCAAAUGAUCAAUAAUUCAUAGUAAUUGUUCUGCUUUAGAAAAUAUUCAAAAUUAAAACAAUGCCUUUUAAAAAAAAUCUAAUCAUGUAAUGUCUAAAUAAACACUCAAAAGGUUGAAGAAAAGUCGUACAAAGACAAAAUCAAAUUGAAGUGAAUUAUACAAAAACUAAGAAGUAGAAAAUAACUGCAGAUUUAAUUACCUACAAAUGCAAUCAUAAUUAAGUCAAUUGUAUUUUUAGAAUAUAGAAAAAAAUUGAAAAUAUUCACAUACUAAUUGACAAAAAAUUAUUAAAAUGAUUUUAAUUAACACUAAUAAUCAAUACUCCCUUUGUCUAGCUCUUACAACACACUUUUUAUUAGUCCUUACCAAAAAACAACACAUUUAUAUAUUUAGUAAAACGUUAACUUUAAAAUAUCUAUUUUACCCACUCGGUCAAACUACAUCAUAUAUACCUUAUAGUCUCUCGGUCAAACUAUCAUAUAAAUUGAAACAGAUGAAGUGUAUAUAACUAUAUUUAUAUUUAUACUAAUUAUAACACAAUUGAGCCGUCUCUUGUCUCUCUAAUGGCUAAUCAUCAAGAAUUACCUGAAAUAGCAGCACAAUGUGCUGCUAUGACGGAAGAAGAAAGAGAAGUUAUGGAUAUUCUGUUAAGUUUACCGGAGCUCAUAGCUGAUUUACGCGUUUAUGGCGAAGAUCAGCUUAUUGCUUGGGGCUGGAAGAGACGGAGGUCAGCCGUUAAUUAUCCUCAAACUCCAUUGCCGUCUCCUGAUUCUUCUCCGUCUCCUUCGCCGCGAGAAAAUUGAAGAUUGUGAAGUUUAUAGUUGCAUAUAAUACUAAAGGUUAACGCCGCUAAACUUUAAACUAGCUGGAUGAUUGGGCUGAUCGAUCAUGUUGUUCAUGCUUAGUGUUCUUGUGGAAUUAUUAAUUGUAUAACUUAUAAGAAUAUUUAAGAUAAAGAUAAUCAGUUUAAAUUUAAUUUUGUUUUUGUUAUAGUACUUAGGGAUGGUAUGUUUAUGUUCUUACAAAAUCGUUUUAUAUUUAUCCUUUUAUGUAACGGAGCUUCAACAUGAAUAAGACGGGUAAAAAACCCUAAUUCUUUUUUUGAGUUUGAGCUAAAGCUACUAGUUUCGCAGCCGUUUAAUUAUUUGGUAAGGAAAAUUAAAGGUAAAAUUAAGAUAUUUCAUGUUGUUGAUUUUUUAUUUUUUUAUUUUAAUUUCCUCUAAAUUAAUCAGUUUGUAGAAUAUACAACAAUUAGAACAGUUUUGAUAGUCGGAAGAUUCUCUUAAACCUAGUUAUUUAUUUAUUGGAUGAUUAAUCUUUUAUACGACUUAAUUAAUUUGUGUUAAUUUUAUGUAGGAGCAAUAUAUGCAGGAAAUUAUUGAGUUGCUCAAGGUCCAGAGUCACCUAGAGAAGCAAAUAAUAUUCAACAACACCUUGCAAUAGUUAACUGCUGGAACAACAACUUUGGCACCCCGUCAAACCUCGUUAUAGGCGAAAUACUAUUAUAAAUUACUUAUAAUAUAUGAAUAAUAUGUCAAUAUUAAUGAAAUAUUAUUAUAAAGAAUGACAAUAUUAUUAGUUUCUCUUCUGAUCUUAUCAUUAGAGAAUUAAUUAUAAUAUCUCUCUCUAGCUUAUUUAUCAUUGUUAUUAUAUUUGUGAGAUGAAAAAAAGGUAAUAUAACAUGCAUGGUGACUAAAUUGGUGCGACAUGUGAUAUCUCAUAAAGAAGGUUAGUGAUCAAUUUUCCUUGUCAAUGUCUUCUUAAUCAAGAUUGUCACAUCUGUUUAAAUUUUAAUCGGUCUCCUCAUUUUUGAGCUAUUGCAUAGGAACUCUUUUGUCUUAUUAUAAUUAGUUUGGACUGUUGUCUAAUUAUUUAUGCAAUGUUCAAAAUAAUAUUCCUAAGUUCUAAAAUUGUUUACUAUGUAUUUGAUGUACGUAGCAGUGCAUGGCUGAUUCAAGGAAUUGAUUUGUUUCGAUCUACCUUAAGUGAUCCUCUACGUGACACAAACUCAUAAUAAAAGAAUGAGAAGUACACUAAAUAUUGUAAAAUUGUUGAAAAUUCACUAAAUAUAUGCAUAUAGUAUACUUCAAAUACAUAAAUAUUCUAAUAUAUAACUCAUAAAUUUUAAAAUCUAAAUCUUUUGAUGAUUAAAAUCAUCAUAUAAGCUUUUUUAUAAAAAUCAAGUUUGAUUAUCGGAAUUUUUAUUUAAUUCGAAUUGAAAAGGAGUGAAAACUUAUAAUGGAUUUUGAUUGUUUUGGCCCAUUUGGGCUUAGCAAUGAAGUACUGUAUAUAUUCCACACGUAAACAUUCUCUCUUUCACACCCACAAACUCUUUAUCUAGAAAGUCUUAUAUCUCCCGUGUGGUUGAUUUACGAAAUAUUACAUAUAGUACGUAUUUAAAAAAAAUAGCGACUGUGAAUUUGUUCGAAGGUUCCCAAAAAAAAAAACCAAUGGAGCUUAGAAGUGACAGAUUUGACUGUAUUCAUUAUUUUAUCAAAACAUUAAUAUUUAUAUGCAAAGUAUAACUAUAAUAUCAAUAAGUACUAAUUUUUUGAAUUUAUAAUUAAAUUUUAUGAGUCGAGCCUGUCGCAUAGGGCUUGUCUAGUGUGGUUUACAUCCCCCGUGUAGUUUGUAGGCUAUUACACAGUGGAGGUUUACCCAAUGCGCACAAAGUACUCACCCAAAGGGCAGAGGCUAUAGCAGAAGUUGUAGCAGCUGCGGGUAUCGUGAGGUUCCAAAAAGAAAUAAAAUAAAUAAUAAUAAAAAAAAUAUUCUAUUCAACUUGAACUUUAAAAGAUGAACUCGUAAUUUAAAUUUUAGAUCCAUUUUCUUUGACAUCAAUGUAAACAUAAAUUAGUACUAAUAUUGAUAUAGUCAACUUAAUUAAACCAAAUUACCCAAGCAAAAGCUUCAUUCAGCUUUAAUAGCAACUAGAACCAAAUACCAUGUAUCCCUUUUGGACCCCUUGCACCUUUUAAACUCAACUCCCCAAAACUUAUUGUAUCUUCUUACAGUAUAUCAUUUUUAAUUUUUUUAAAAAGCCCUUAAAAUCUUCCAAACAUUUUCAACGUCCUUUAUAGUCUAACCCUUUUGAACCCCAUGCCCUUAUUAAACUCUCUUUUUAGAUAAUUGCACAUUUUCCCUAGUGACACAAAGGUGGAGUUAACACAAAUACAGAGUUUUGGGUCAAAACUAUUAGAUUUUGUUGAAAUCGUAACUGCUAUUGUGCNNNNNNNNNNNNNNNNNNNNNNNUUUUGGCCCCCCCCCCCCCCCCUUCCAAAUAUUCCAUAUGCUUAUAUAAAUCACACUUUUCUUCUUUUCUAGUCUCUAAUAAGUAUUUCUAAUUCUAGCUUUUGAUCUACAAGUAUGGCAUAUAACAUAGCAAUUUCCUUGUUCAAUAUGAUGUGCUACUACUAUUCCUAUUUCUUUCAAUCACAAGAUAUUGCAAAUUCACUCCAUUCAAUCUUUUCUCUACUAACCUCACUACUUCUCACCUUUAUCAUAUUGAAGUACCAAAAUCAUGACAAUACACCCUUUGAAACACACCCCAAAUCCAUAUAUUGUGCUAUAACAAGCUUUCUUGCUUAUUACAUGUUACAUGACAUAGAAAGAAGAUUUUCUCCACAACGACGGCGUAUAAUUACAAGGAGUUGUGCCUAUGUUGUUGUUGUUCAUUGUUAUUCCAUGUUGUUGUUUGGAUCAUUGUGGGUUGCAUCUUUGGUGUCUAUUUUGCUACCAGACUCAGCUAGCCCUGUUUUGUAUUUGCUCUGUCUCAUGCUUCCUAUUUGUGGAUUACUACAUUUGGCCUAUAGGAACAUUGUGGUGAUUUUUUGGCCUAGGCAUGAUCAGAGGUGGUUCAUGGCUCAUUUUUAUCGUAUCCGUGACCAAUUGGAUCUCCCUUUGUAGGAAGAUUCAAGGGUGGAUCUUACUUGAAGUUACAUGUUCGACAAAAUUCAAUAAUUUUGAUUCAUAUCUUGUAAUUGUAUAAUUUGUAUUAUGUAAUUGAAUCAGUUUCAUAUGUAUAAGAAUCUAUUCAAUAUCUAGUAAGAAAAUAGGUUCUGGUCCAACUUACAAACUUAAAAUUUUUGGAUGUACCUCUAGGAGGACCUUAUACUUUUUAAUAUGGGUGCAAUUUACAACUUCAUUGCUCUUACCUGGCUUCGCUCCUGAUUGUGGCUCAACCAAGUUAAGAUUCAUGACAGGAUGUUUCAUAUUGGGGAUAAAUCACUUUUUAACUAAGGUGAUUUCAUAUUUAAUACUUUAACACGACAUUUCUAAUUAAGAACAACUCAACCAUCGAUACUUAUUAGUUGAUCCUUCCAAGAUUUCUCCAAGGAUGAAGCUUUAAAUCCAAGCAAAUGCUAUUUGAUAGUAGUAUAUACUAGCAUUUCACUUAUCAGACAGAAUUAAGAGUAAACUGAUCCAUAUUAGCAUUAGAUUACUUAACAUAUAGCUGCAAAAUGAAUUUAAGAUAACGAACCACAUCGGAGAAUGAAGAUAGUUGUGGCCUCGUUGGUUAGAAUAAAAAAUGGAGGCUGUGGGUUAAGUUAAAAUAUGAUCCUUCAGGCAAGUUUUAACGGGAUAUGAUGAGUGGUCAAUACUCGCAUUAAAAUAUGUGAGAAGGGCGUUCAGGCUCAGCCUGGUUACGACAAUUUGGGCGCUCUCAAUUUUAUCAAUCUGAUCCCUAUGCUUGAAUUAUCUUAUAACCCCUACCCCCACCCCUCUACACACACCCUCCCCCCUAAGUUAAGUUUUCUAAUUUUUUUUAUUUUUUUUAUAGAACAUAGUUUGCUUUAUAACUAAAUUAUAAGGUACUUACAUUUCUUAUUGGAAUGAUAUCAACUAAAUGAUUAGUGAUAAUUUAGAACCAAAAAAAAAAAAACACAACCACCUAUAAUAUUUCAUGUAGAAAAUUCACAAACAAAAUAAUAGUUCAGGUAUACUAUCAUUAUCAUUGAACAAUUCGAUCAUGAGUGAUGGGAUAAAACAUUAAAUAUUACUCCAUAUAUCACAAAUCAUAAUAUUCAAAGAACAUUUUUGUACAUUAAACAUAUUUCAAAUUGUAGACUUUAAUAUUCACGGUUAAUUGUGCAACUAUUAGGACUCAAAAUUCAAUAAUGAAACAUGAUUGAUAUUAUUAGAGAGUCCUACAUCGAAUUAUAUUACUUAUAUGAUAUAUAACAAUCCUUCUUUUAUGAACUAGUUUUUAUGGUUACGGAUAAGUAUCACUUUACCCACACCGAUCAAAUAACUUUCGUAGAGAUUAUUUCAUAAAACAUCCGUACAUUUAUAUCAUAUGAUACAGAACAAUCCUUCUUUUAUAAACUAAUUUUAAUAAUUACAGAUAAGUAUCAUUUUACCCACACCGAUCAAAUAACCUUUCGCAGAGAUCAUUUCAUGAAACAUCCAUACAUAAAUUAAAUUAGGACUAGAAAAUAUUCUUAACUAAUAAAUCAUAAUUAAAUAAUUAUCAUAAAUACCAUAAAUAACAAAUUCUAAACUACUAAGAUAUCUUAUUCUCAAUUUGUUUCCUACAGAUUUCUGAUUAAUUAUGGACUUAAAAGUAAAUCAAAUGAAAUGAUCAUAUUAUAGAUGUAAUAACAUUUUAGUUAGUGUAAUUUGUACUUUAGAGGAAAGGUUUAAGAAAGGAAGUUAAGGUUAGAGAACCCAAAACUUGGGUAAAAUGUUUAGAUUUAUUUAUUGAAGAUGAGACAAUAGCAAUAAAGAUGAAAUAAAGACAAAAUUGCAGCAUUUGUGGAUGUGCUCUUCUCAAUGAUUAGGAAGUAAAAUAUCUUGUAGUAGUGAAAAGAAAAAUUGACACCUCCUACUUAUUUACUCCACCAUUUAUGUCUCUACACUUCACUUCUUUCUGAUUCAUUACCACAAUUACUUGUUCAGCAAACACCUUUUACAUUUACUUUUUACAACAUGAUUACAGAAUUAGAGAACAUUUUCAUAUACUCUCUUUAUUUCUUUAGUUCUAAUUUAUAUGACGCAUAGUUAGAGCGUGACCUAGUCAAUAAAUUGAUUGAGAAUCAUGAGGAUUUAGGUUUAUCCGUUGAGACAAAAACACUUGUGAGUUUUCCUAUUUGUGUUAGCCUUGGUGUGACAGGUAUUCCGUUCAAUUAGUGGAGGUGUGUGAAAGUUGGCUCGGACAUCACAGUCGUCAAAAUAAAUAAAUUAUGUGACACACUUUUUAAUUAAUUACGUCUUAGAAAUGAUGUCACAUUUCUAGCACUGGUGGAAGUGCUUCACCUAGACCUUUGGUCUCGGGUUCGACCCCUGGGUAUGGAGAAAAUCUUGUUGGGAGCGCCACCCCCGAAUGGGUCCUGCAGAGCGCGAUUCAGAUUUAGUCGGAGUUCUAAUGUGGGCUCCGAACACCGAGUGGGAGACCAAAAAAAAAGCUUAACUUGAAAUUACAUAUUUAUCCUUAAUAAAAUUAUUUAUACAAAUAAUCAACCGGUUUUAGAUGACAAAUUUUUUUUUUAGAAAAACUUAUUUUCUUUAAUAAAUUUGUGUCAAAUCAAAUAAUGUCACAUAAAUAAAAAUAAAAAUAAUAAUUUCUUUCUUAAAUUUUGCAUCAAAUUAGACUAACAAAUUAAAAUCGAAAGAUUACUUUUUUUUAUGUUUAACCAAAACUGUAAAAGUUUAAAGAUAUUAAUACUCGUAUUUCCAAAAUUUGGUAGGACGUGAUAAUUUGACUUAUUUCACUCUGUAUGCAUUUUAUUGGAUUGGAUUGGAAACAGGCUGUAGUCUUUGAGUUUUCCACCUACCCUACCCCCAAACCUUCUGACACGCCACUUAAGAAGAAAAAGGAAAUAAAAAUAGAAUUGAAAAUGAAGAAAAUUUAUAAGAAAAAUAAAUAAGAGAAGUAUUGAACUCCCGAAUUUGAUGUAAAUUAUUAGUUUCAUUCUAAAUUACUGUCAGUUUUAAAAACAUUCUUUAACUUGUCUAACUAAACUUAGAUAAAUCCUGAUACAAGUGGCCUCAAACUCUUGUAAGAGCAUGAAACUCUUAAUAAAAAACUGAAAGAAAUGUUGAAAAUAUUUUUAAACUUAGUGAGAAUUUAGGAGUGUAUUUUACUCAUAUUGCAAGAUCGAAGGUGUAUUUAAAGUUCAAUUAAUCAAAUAAAAGGAUAUUUUUAAAAUUAUUAAUAGUUUAAAAAUGAAACUAAUGAUGCGCGUUGAAUUUAGGAUACUUUUAAUAUGUUCUGAAUGAAUUAAGUGAAAAGAACAUAUCCAAUCAUUUGGUAUUUUGAAUCCACUAAUCGAUUAAGUUAAAUUCGUUUUACGGUGCAUCCAUUAAAGGGAAAACAAUUAGAGAGGUAGAAGUCCAAAUACAAAUUUUAAAAAAAAUAUUGAAUGUAUUUACAUAUUAAGUAGAAUCAAUUUUAGUAUUUCUAAUUAUUCAAAAUUUCAAAAUCUAUAAAAUUAAAUAUUAAAAUCCUGCUCCACCUUUAUUUCAAGUAUUUCCUUAAUCUUAGGACUUGAGUCCAAAACCUCUUAUUAUAGUCCUAAUGUUAUUAAGUUAUUUUGACGCCAAUUAAAUUGAUUUUAAGACUCCAAUUUAUAUCUCUUAUCACCAAAAGAAAAAAGAAAAACUUUUCUUGACAUAAUUACAGGUAAUAAAUAAUAAUAAUCAUAAUUAAGUAAUUAAACUUGUAAAAAGUACAUGUUAUAUGAGAUACUCUGUUACAUGCAUUUCAAUUUCAGACUCUUUGAGUUAUGGAGAAAGCCAUUCUAAAAUCAUUGGUCUAUUUUGACUUUUGUUCUUUCUUUUUCCCCAUUUUGUUUUUUCAGGCUCUAAGUUUCGAAUACAAUUACAAAAAAAUGUUUCUCAAACUUCAUUGCCCCAUAAGAAAUAGGGGCGAGACAGGAGCUUAAUUACUUCUAGUAUUUAUGACUCUGAUGGCAACACAUGACCGGC
rnacentral:lncRNA from 1 species